rnacentral:rRNA from 1 species
GAGUUUGAUCAUGGCUCAGGACGAACGCUGGCGGCGUGCUUAACACAUGCAAGUCGAACGCUGAAGCUUGGGUGUUUUUCAUCUGGGUGGAUGAGUGGCGAACGGGUGAGUAAUACGUGAGUAACCUGCCCUUGACUCUGGGAUAAGCCUGGGAAACUGGGUCUAAUACUGGAUACUACAUACCUUCGCAUGGGGGUGUGUGGAAAGGGUUUUACUGGUUUUGGAUGGGCUCACGGCCUAUCAGCUUGUUGGUGGGGUAAUGGCCUACCAAGGCGACGACGGGUAGCCGGCCUGAGAGGGUGACCGGCCACACUGGGACUGAGACACGGCCCAGACUCCUACGGGACGCAGCAGA